rnacentral:rRNA from 2 species
UGGGGGAUAUUGCGCAAUGGGGGAAACCCUGACGCAGCAACGCCGCGUGAAGGAAGAAGGUCUUCGGAUCGUAAACUUUUGUCUUUGGGGACGAUAAUGACGGUACCCAAGGAGGAAGCCACGGCUAACUACGUGCCAGCAGCCGCGGUAAUACGUAGGUGGCGAGCGUUGUCCGGAUUUACUGGGUGUAAAGGGCGUGUAGGCGGGAUAGCAAGUCAGGUGUGAAAUACCAAGGCUUAACCUUGGGGCUGCACUUGAAACUGUUAUUCUUGAGUGUCGGAGAGGGAAGCGGAAUUCCUAGUGUAGCGGUGAAAUGCGUAGAUAUUAGGAGGAACACCAGUGGCGAAGGCGGCUUUCUGGACGAUAACUGACGCUGAGGCGCGAAAGCGUGGGGAGCAAACAGG